UUUUAUUACGAUAGUUAUUGCGCUAUGAACUUUAUAUCUGUAACGCCAUCAAACCACUUGAAUGGUAUCAUUCUGGACUGUACGAUGACACGAUGAUCGGGGCCGACAGCCGUAUCGCGCUGCGAGCGCUGAUAACGUGACCUCACUAAUCUUUCUCAACGAUUACACGAUUAUUUUAUUGCAAUUAAAACUAUAAUCUGUCAA